rnacentral:lncRNA from 1 species
GAUAAAGUAGGUGGAACUAUUCCGGCAGCUAAAUAAUUGACUAGAUCAGCGUACCAUGGUAUGACAGAUAUAGCUAAGGUGGUUUCUACUUGCAUGUCGGAGUUGUUCUCUUCCAAAGUAGCUAUGAGUUUGUCAUACGAGAAAUCAUCAUUAAUGGAUGUUCUUUCCGGUUCAAGGUUCUCAAGUCUAGAGAGGUGGUCUGCUACUACGUUCUCAGUUCCUUUCUUGUCCUUGAUUUCUAAGUCGAAUUCUUGUAGUAAC